rnacentral:ncRNA from 1 species
UAAAGAUAAAGCCAAACCUGUUGCGAGGCAGGGACGGAAAGCCUACGGGUCUCAUAGAGAUGGCCGGUUACCUUG